GGAUGGAUUUCCCUCGGUUUUUUUUGAAGUUUUUUUGACCAUAUUUGUUUUGAAUUUAGCCGCUAUUAUAUUCAAUAAAUUUAAAUGGGCGAAGUUGACAAACUGUGUGCGCUUUUCGUAGGAGAAAAAGUUUUUAAAGUCAGAUGGAGGCCAGAAAACAUCGUUGGCCUUGAUUCACAAUAUUUUAUCACAGGGAGUUGGGAUUUUACGGAGAAUUUUCUAACAGUAUGGAAACACUCUUCAGACAUGGAUGAUCCUCAGCAGCUGAGUUCAAUACCUCACGAAGGAGAUGUUACCGAACUGAAGUUUAUAAAUGACAAUGCAUGUGUUGCAUCUUCAUCGCUGGGGUGUGUCAAGCUGUUCAGCCUAGAUGUUACCGAGGAGAACUCAGCACAGCUGAAGGAACAUACUACAUGGGAAAAAUUGCAUUCAAUUAGGUGCAUGACAGAGUGCCCAUGCACUGGGCUUGCAUGCUUUGAAGAGGAUAUUGUCACCAUCAGUGAGGAUGGGACACUGGCUCUUCUCACUGCCAAGAGGGCAAUACCCGUUCAGAAAAUUGAUAAUGCAGAUGCGGUGUCACUGAGCUGCAUCUGCUUCCUGAAGCACAACCAGGUGCUGACAGGCAACCGAGUGGGCGGCAUGAAGAUCUGGGACUUCGCAGGAGCCUCGCAGGCGCCGGCGGCCAUGUUCUCGCUGUCCAGCGGUCAGGUGGGAGCGAGCUGCGUGGCACAUCACCCCACGCAGAGCCACAUAGUGUUCUGCGGCGGGGAGGACGGCUCCGUGACUGUGUGGGACCUGCGGCAGAACACCUUCCCCGUCAACGUGCUGAAGGCCCACGACGGCACAGUUACAGAGCUCCAGUUUCACCCAGAAAGACCAGUUCACAUGUUUACAUCGUCGACGUCUGGUGAGAUAUGGAACUGGGACAUGUCCAACCUGACGGGCCGGCCAGGUGAGGGGUUUCAGACGGGUUUAUCUUGCUACAAGAAUUAGGAUGUGGCAAGUAGGAAAAGAUUUUCAAGGUCAUUUCAAUCAUUACUUGUUAUGGAAUACAGUUUUGUAUGAAAUAGGUUUUAUAAUAAACUGGCUAAUGCCUGGCAUGCAUUGCUAUGCCUCGUUCAAUUUUUUUUGUAAUCUGUUUGAAGUAGGUACAUUUAUACAGAGCAUCUUCCUCUAUAUCUCUCUACAUCACACUAUAAAUCUCAUUAAUUUUCUAUAUAUAUUAGGCAUGUGCGAAGCUUCGAUAGUACAAUCAAAUUUGAAGUUUUUUUAAUAUUCAAUAAUACUUCGAAACAAAAUUAACUAUUCGCAUUAAACAAAGCUUUGUAUCAUUCAAGUCUUUAAGUCGCACGUGCGAUUUAUUUUCUGUUUGGAAGAUUAACCUCUCGCACGAGUGUGACUUCAUAAUCGAUUAAUCUAAAGAGUUACUUAACCUAUUGCAGCAUUGUGUCGCCUACCGAAUUUAUUAAUUUCGUCUAACGAAAAUAUAAUAUAAAUAUAAUGUAAUAAAGGCGCAGAGUGAUCAUCAUAAUCUAAAGAAAUACCGUCAAAAAGAAGAAAAAAACGUAGUGCAAUAUGGAAUUUUUUCACAGAUGUUGGCGAUUGUUCCGCACAAUGCGAUAAAUGCAAACAAUUGUUCAAAUGCCCACGUGGUAGGUUAUGUCACAAUGAAAAUUGUAUUGUUUUGAUAAUUUGUAGGUAGUACAUAGCGAUACAAUUUAUUAUAUGUGUGGUAGUAACUGUUCUCCAAUUGUAAUGCAAUCUCCAGCGGUAAAAAAGACAAAGCAAAGCACAAUUCUGUCACGUUACGACCACUCUUGAAAUUUUAUUUUUUUGUUUGUUUUAUUAUGCUUUCAAACUAAAAAUGUUUCAUGUUGAUUACUUUUAGACAAGAUUUUCAUAGUAACAUUCAUAAUAACGGUUUCGCGGGGAUUUUUGAAGCCAUGAUGAAGUAAUUUGCUACAAAAGAGUGUUAAUGUGUGUGUGGUAGAUUGAUAUUGUUUAGAUAGCAAAUUUUUAAAUUUUACUAUCUUUCUACAAUACCAAAUUUUCCCCAAAGUAAGUAUCGCAAUUAUUGCUAGUUUUUAGUUGUUUUGAGUAGUAUUUUGAUGUGGAUGAGAAAAUAGCAAAUAUUAUUAGACUUUAGUGAUCUGUGGAAUAAAUAAUUAUUAUUCUAGUUUUAGUAUUUUUCUUAUACGGUUAGAGCUAAUCCAAAAAAUUAAAAAUACAGAAAAUGGUAUUUUUGAGUAGGCUACUGUUUGUCCUAGAACCCACAAAUAAGUAUUUUUGAUGUUGCUAACCUAACCUAACCUAACUAACCAACCUCAUCAACCUAUCUUGGCUAGGUUAGCCUCGUAAAGGAUAUAACAGAGAAGCGUCUGAGACCUUGGGCUCAAUGGCAUAGUGUUCUGUGAGUGUAGGGAGAUAAUUGGAGGAGAAAUCAUGUGCGGACUGGUUCAUCACUUAGCUCUUACAACCGAUGUACUAAAGCAAAAAAAAACAAUGAUCUAUUAAAUAAUGAAAGGCACUAAUUUUGAUAUUGUAAUUGAGUAUUUUAAGUUAGCAACAUUUGCAUACAACACACAUAGAUAAGCUUGGGGGCACCCCAAGACAAAAAAGGUUAAAACAUAACUUGUUGUACCAUAGUGGCAAUUACAAUUAAUUAGAAGUGAACAAAAGAAUUACAUCAUUUCAUACAAAUGUUUAUAAGUAAAAAUUUAUUCUUUAGGUUGAUAAUAUAAAAAAGGUCCUUUCAUUGGAUAGGUUAGAAUUUUUAUGCGAUGAUAGAUAUGUAGAAGUCCAACAAGGAAAGUUCAUGCGCAAACAUGCUUCAAACUGAAAGAAAAUUAUAGUAGUGACUUUCCUGAAAUUGCAGGCAGCAUCCUGAGACCGUAAGUGGAGGAGAAAGACUCAAUCCCGUCCCGGUACUUAAUAGACUUAAUCAAGCAUGGGCCCGGAUGUCUCACGCCACACAAGGACCGCUAAAAGAAAUUG